AUUGAACGCUGGCGGCAUGCUUUACACAUGCAAGUCGAACGGUAACAGGCCUUCGGGUGCUGACGAGUGGCGAACGGGUGAGUAAUGCAUCGGAUCGUACCCAGAGGUGGGGGAUAACGCAGCGAAAGCUGUGCUAAUACCGCAUGUGAUCUGAGGAUGAAAGCGGGGGACCGAGCAGCAAUGUUUGGCCUCGCGCCUUUGGAGCGGCCGAUGUCGGAUUAGCUAGUUGGUGGGGUAAAGGCCUACCAAGGCGACGAUCCGUAGCUGGUCUGAGAGGACGACCAGCCACACUGGGACUGAGACACGGCCCAGACUCCUACGGGAGGCAGCAGUGGGGAAUUUUGGACAAUGGGCGCAAGCCUGAUCCAGCAAUGCCGCGUGCGGGAAGAAGGCCUUCGGGUUGUAAACCGCUUUUGGCAGGAACGAAACGGUGUCCGCUAAUACCGGGCGCUAAUGACGGUACCUGCAGAAUAAGCACCGGCUAACUACGUG
rnacentral:rRNA from 1 species